AGUGAACGCUGGCGGUAGGCCUAACACAUGCAAGUCGAACGGCAGCACAGUAAGAGCUUGCUCUUACGGGUGGCGAGUGGCGGACGGGUGAGGAAUACAUCGGAAUCUACUUUUUCGUGGGGGAUAACGUAGGGAAACUUACGCUAAUACCGCAUACGACCUACGGGUGAAAGCAGGGGAUCUUCGGACCUUGCGCGAUUGAAUGAGCCGAUGUCGGAUUAGCUAGUUGGCGGGGUAAAGGCCCACCAAGGCGACGAUCCGUAGCUGGUCUGAGAGGAUGAUUAGCCACACUGGAAAUGGGACAAGGUCCAGACUCCUAAGGGAGGGAGGAGUGGGGAAUAUUGGACAAUGGGGGGAAGCCUGAUCCAGCCAUACCGCGUGGGUGGAGAAGGCCUUCGGGUUGUAAAGCCCUUUUGUUGGGAAAGAAAAGCAGCAGGUUAAUAACCCGGUGUUCUGACGGUACCCAAAGAAUAAGCACCGGCUAACUUCGUG
rnacentral:rRNA from 1 species